AAAUAUUCAUUAAAAUCCAGUUAGCGGCUGAUAAACAGACCCAUCCAAUAUUCCUCCCCUCGGUGUUCAACAAUGAGCAGCAAGACAUUUCACUGAUAAUAUCUGGAAUAAACAAAGGAUCGGAUGUACGGCUCCUGCUGUGCGAUGUGUCGUCACUUUUGCUGCAAGCCGAAGUUCUGCGGAAACAGACACACAAAGCGCCUCCUCAAGGUGUUGCGGUUGCUGUUGUUAAAAAUGGGAACAAACACGAAUAGGCGGAUGGGUCAGUAUGAGCGAUCAACUGAGACUCCCACCUGAUGAGAAGCAUUACUUACCAGAAGCCCGUAGGCCUGUAAGGCUAUAGGCCCGUAGGCCUGUAAGGCUAUAGGCCCGUAAGCCUGUAAGGCUAUAGGCCCGCAGGCCUGUAAGGCUAUAGGCCCGUAGGCCUGUAGGGCCGUAGGCCUGUAAGCCUAUAGGCCCGUAGGCCUGUAAGCCUAUAGGCCCGUAGGCCUGUAGGGCUAUAGGCCUGUAAGCCUGUAAGGCUAUAGGCCCGUAGGCCCGUAGGCCUGUAAGGCUGUAGGCCCGUAGGCCAGUAAGGAUGUAGGCCCGUAGGCCUGUAAGGCUGAAGGCCCGUAGGCCUGUAAGGCUGAAGGCCCGUAGGCCUGUAAGGCUGUAGGCCCGUAGGGCUGUAAGGCUGAAGGCCCGUAGGGCUGUAAGGCUGAAGGCCCGUAGGCCUGUAAGGCUGUAGGCCCGUAGGGCUGUAAGGCUGUAGGCCCGUAGGGCUAUAGGCCUGUAAGGCUGUAGGGCUGUAGACCUGUAAGCCCGUAGGCCUGUAGGGCUGUAAGCAUGUAAGCCCGUAGACCUGUAGGGCUGUAAGCCCAUAAGCAUGUAAGCCUGUAGGCCUGUAGGGCUGUAAGUCUGUUAGCAUGUAAGCCCGUAGGCCUGUAAGCUCGUAGGCCCGUAGGGCUGUGGGCCUGUGGGCCUGUAGGGCUGUGGGCCUGUGGGCCUGUAGGGCUGUGGGCCUGUGGGCCUGUAGGGCUGUAAUCCUGUGGGCCUGUAGGGCUGUAGGGCUGUAAGCCUGUUAGCAUGUAAGCCCGUAGGGCUGUAAGCAUGUGGGCCUGUGGGCCUGUAGGGCUGUAGGCCUGGGGGAGAUAAUAAACACACUCUCGUAAUAUUCGUAGCUUUGAGUAGCUUUGAAAAUGUUCCUAUUUUGAGUAAUGUUUUCACGCGACUUCACAUGAAUCUUUCCAAAAACAUCCAUCUAUGUGAUGAAGGAAAGCUUGCUUGGGUUCGGCUGACCUCAGGACGCAGCUUACGAUCAAUCAUUUUAACAAGGCAAACGCAUCGAGGGUCAGGUUAUUAAUAUCAUUACUCGACCAUGAUUGUCAGCUGGCCGCGUUGAAGGUCCCGUGGAACGAGCGUAUAACGCCUUCACAAGAAUAGCACGGAGAUCAGUUUCCCCUCGUUACACAAGUGGUUCAAGGACAACAGGACGCUUCUUAUAAUAAUGUUCCUGCGAGUGACUCUACUCCCCCUUCGGGAGGAAAUUACAUGUUGUGUGUCAAGCUGAGGCAGAGAAAUACGCUCCGAUUGUCGAGCAAUGCACUGAAUCUUCGACUAUCUCCGAGGAAUGCUAAUCACACUUCUAUUGGAUUUAUUCCGUGACGCCUGCCAUUAAUCCUCGCCGCGUUCCUUGGCGGUGGAAUUGCGGCACUCUUUUGAACGUAAUUAACUCCCGCGAUCGCUUUUGAACCGCGCCGCAUCGAGCGCUCUGAUCGAGAGGAAUUACACCGGGCUGCAGCGAGUAUUUAAUGGACCCACCGAGUGUCAAUUAAUGCAGAGGAGCUUUUCAUGCCACUUUCUUUUCAUGUCCAGUAGCCCAGGUUUUUUUUUAAUUUUUUUUAUCAAAAAGCACUUAUCCCCAGUCGAAACGAAACGGACAGCCUUCAGAGGCGUCACAAUGAGCGCGGCCCCUGUUGUUAUUAGCUCGGGGAGUGCGAGACCUUCGUCCCUGUAGACCUCACUCCCUCUGGUGUGAAUUCACUGCCCGAGGGAAGGAUUUGUGGAGACAAGAACAAGUGGUGCUAUUCCAGCAGGUCCGACCAACGCGGGGAUUCUGGCCUCGGACAACCAAGAGCCAAAUAUCUCUCAAUGCUGAGGCGAUUCGUAAAAACUACUCCGAGGUCUUGAAACGGCCUCGAUUUAACGCCGAUGCCUCAACGUGAUCAAGAUAAUUAAGAUUAGUUGAGUCACACGACAUUCAUCCGCCUCCACUUCCUCCCUGGAGGUUUUCACUUGGCGGCGAGAAUGUUCCACGAGUACCGGCGGUGUGGAGACGCUGCUGCAGGUGGAAUAUGCCUGAGAAAUAUUAUAAAAUCUAUAUUUUUAAGUUCGAGUGGCUGUGAAGAGAAGCAGGUUCCUUCUACAGUCCCCAGCAGGAAUAAAACAUUAGUAGACACUUAAACUGAUUUUAGAGACUUUUUUUAGAGGUCUAAAAUAAACCCUCUGAUACUCCAAUUUGACCAAACUGGAAACAUCCAGUAUAAGUAACGCACUUACUGUGUGUAAGUAUCUCACACCCCCUAAAAACCAGAAAACCACAUCUAUAAAAUGUAUGAAAUGAACGGGGCUCAUCAAGGGGCUGAAUUAAAGGCACAUUGUGUAGUGCGUAAUGCUUCUGUGCCCCACCAAAUACAAAAUGUUUAGUUUUUGAAUUUGUGGUGCCGCUUAAAAGUUUUUUUUUAGAUUGAGGGGCAUUUGCUUCUGCAGCUUCUACUCUGGCCACAAGCGUUCGAGCAGUUUUGCAUUUAAAAAUAAAAUAUAAAUUAAGUAUUCAACAAAUCACUCUUCCAGAGUUUGCCCAGCCGCUAAUCACACAGCGUGGUGGGCAUCUCGAGUAAUUGAUGCAUAGCUAAUGACUUGGUGAUUAAUGGCCUCACUCUCGACUCGCGUGAAAUGUGACUGAUCGAGAGAUGGGGAAGGCGGGGGCGUGGUGUGUGUGGGCUGGAAAACAAAGACCCCGCGAUGUUCUGCGCCGCGUUGGAGGCCGCGGAGCGCCGUGCAGCCGUCACUCAAAUUAAAGCUCAAAUCUAAUUAGAGAAGAAAAGCACAGUGCUGCGAGAGUUAAUAAGUGAUGGGUGUUAAUUAGGUUUAUCCAGGCAUAUGGAGAUUCGCUCUUUGGAUUGGUGAUAGGUGGGGAUGGGGGGGGGUUUGCUUCGCUGGCUCUCAUUGGCCGCGAGGCUGCGGUCACGGCAGGGGGUCGGAAUCUCUGUCCUCCGUUUAGAUGAGUGAGAAUCAGUGAAGGUAAAGGUCACAGUUUUGUUCCGGUUUCACCUUCCAGCCAACAAGUGGCGGCCGAGAGCAGGAAGGACCCGAUCACCGCGUUCCCUCCUCCCUACGACAGCCACACAAAAGCAGCCAUUAGACACCAGGACGCCAGGCGAGCCGAUGGAGGCGACCCGCAGCUGCGUCUGAGGAAGCCCCCGAUGUGAGGAAGGGCGGUCGCGUGGCGCCAUUAUCCCACGCUGUGUGACAAGCAAAGACAGACGGGCCCCGGGGGGGACCGGCGAAGCGCCGCCACCCCCACUCCUCUCCCCGGGGGGGACCAUCGGUGGAUGCAGCGUCGUGCUGCAGGGCCGGGCUAAUAUUAGCCGCAGAUGAGGAGGCCUGCAGAGCGAGGACAUUUGGCGUCGAGCGGAGACGUCGAGGGAACCUCGAGUCCAGCUUUGUUCCGCCCAAAGAUUUAGUCAUAAAAUCAGCAUUGUAACAACAACAUUCAUUAAUCGCGAUUAAUCGCAAUUAAUGAAUUUCAGAAUGCGAUUGAUUAGUUAAUUAUUUUUUAAUCUACCCCAGUAGUGUUCUAUUAGAAUCUAGUGAAGCAAUCUGCCUGAUGAUCACACACACAGUGUAGCUCACACGAUUCCUGUAUGCAGCUCAGUGGGCGAUGAUAUCACGUUGGCUCGGGGACGGGGAUGAUGUUCACACCUAACGUGCUCUCCAUCGGCUCAAACGCUCAGCAGAAUUCUGGCGAUUGAGACCAUAAACUCAUGUUUACAAUGUUUACUGAGGGAAAAAUGUGUGAGAUUGUUUGUGCUUCAGAAUAAUCAAAAGGCACUUGCAAAAAGAUCACAUGCCGUCAAGCACAAAUAGUUCAUGUAGCUCUGGAAAGACAGAGAACAUUUCCACUUGUCAGCUGUAAUCAGCGGUUUGUGAUGAUAUCAAAUGCUUCACACACACACACAAUUAUGAUACGUGAUGUUUCAUCUUGUUUUCUCUUCCGGCCUCCUUAGUGCCUGCCACUCUUUUUCCCGGAACGUGUGAUUUAUGCGCGAGGGGGUGCGCGUCCUGACACAUUAUCGGCACACCUGAGGGUGUGCAUAUGUGUGCUGAGGACGCGUUUACCCUUGUUGUCAACAUGAUUUAGGAAGUGUGUGAGUGAGCAGUAAUGGACGAGGAGUGUGGAUGUUUGAUCCAUGUUAAGUUUCGGGGAGAGAUGAGCUUAGACGUGUAAUGUAAACAGAACAAGCGCGGAAUGAUAAUCUUUACUUGAGGGUAGACGUCUACUGAGAACAGCAUGCGACACACUGCGCAUCUGUAGUAGACCCGGUGAACGUAUUUGAUAGUGAACAUUUUCAUGGUCACUUCAUAGAGUUCGUUAUUCUUUAUUUGGAAUGCGGGUGGAGUGAUGUAGAGGCGACUUAAACAGCCCCGUUGGAGACCUGUCCAUCACAGUAAGCCCCGCCCUUACCGCCAUACUCUGCUUUACGGCCUAAAUGGACCAUCAUUUACUAGAUGAACAUCAUGCUGCAUUGAAGAAGACUUGAAACCACAGAUUGAGACCAUAAAUUCAUGUUCACAAUGAGUCAUUUCCUCAUAGAUGUCUAUGGGACCAGAGGAGUCGCCCCCUGCUGGUCAGAACAGAGAAUGCAGCUUUAAAACAUCCGUCCUCGGCUUCGGUUUCGACGAGGGCCCGCCGCUUGCCGUCACCGUGCACGCGUGUGAGAGGGUGAAUGCAUUCAGUGAAGUUGCUCAUGAGUGUGAGAAACCACACGCGUGUGCUCUCGCUCUUGUUCUUGUUAAGCGCCGUGUGGCUCCGGGCCCCUCGUGUGGUCUCCAGCACAGCCUCUGCUCACCGGCUGCUAUCAUCUGCCGGCAUGACCACACACCACCUCCUGGG
ensembl:lncRNA